rnacentral:misc_RNA from 2 species
AACUUCUCAACCAUAUCGAUUUUUGAUGUGGCUUGGAUGUGGGGGUUGUGCAGGCCUCUGACCCUGAGGUCGGCUCCCCUGAAAUGCAUUAGUGGUAUCUGAGCAGAACUACUAUACCAUUUAGGUGUGAUAAGUUAUCUAUGCCUUUGGUAUGCUGCAUGAACGGAUUGCACCGCUUCUAACGGCCCAAUAUAUUUGACGA